rnacentral:rRNA from 1 species
UACGUAGGCCACAAGCGUUAUCCGGAAUUAUUGGGCGUAAAGAGAUGCGUAGGUGUCCAGAUUUAGUCUUUGAUCAAAGGCAUAGGCAUAACUUAUGUAAGGUUGGAGAAACGGUCUGGAUAGAGGGAGACAGGGGAAGAUGGAACUUCUGGUGGAGUAGUGAAAUGCGUUGAUAUCAGAAGGAACACCAAAGGCGAAGGCAAUCUUCUGGGUCUUUCCUGACACUAAGGCUCGAAAGCGUGGGGAGCAAAACGG